rnacentral:rRNA from 1 species
GACGAACGCUGGCGGCGUGCCUAACACAUGCAAGUCGAACGGUGACGCCCCAGCUUGCUGCAGUGGAUCAGUGGCGAACGGGUGAGUAACACGUGAGCAACCUGCCCCAGACUCUGGAAGAAGCUCUGGAAACGGCGUCUAAUCCUGGAUACGAUACUGCCCCGCAUGGGCAGGGUUUGGUAAGUUUUGCGGUUGGGGAUGGGCUAGCGGCCUAUCGGCUUGUUGGUGAGGUAGUGGCUGACCAAGGCAAGGCCGGGUAGCCGGCCUGGGAGGGCGACCGGCCACACGAGGACUGAGACAGGGCGCAGACUCGUACGGGAGGCAGCGGUGGGGAAUAUUACACAGUGGGAGGGAGCCUGAUGCGACGACGCCGCGUGGGGGAAGACGGCCUUCGGGUAGUGAACCUCUGUCAGCAGAGAAGAAGCGAAAGUGACGGUACCUGCAGAAGAAGCACCGGCUAACUACGUG